GGAGCGUACAGCUCAGUGGUAGAGCACGUGCUUAGCAUGCACGAGGUCCUGGGUUCUAUCCCCAGUAUCUCCC
rnacentral:tRNA from 1 species